GAAUCUGAUGGAGAGUGGCUUGGAAACGAAGGAUGAACAGGUUGUUCAGUGCUGCCUUUGGCUUGAAGGAAUUGAGAGACACCUGCUGAUUGGUAGUGGAGGAGUUGUGAUCAAGUGCGUUGCAGUGGUUGGAUCAAAUACCGAAUCAGGAUGCAGGUAUCUAUCAGAACUGCUGCUACACGCCGGGGCGGGCUCACAUCAAGAAUGCUUACUUGUAAUUGCAGCAAAAACAAGGAAAAACAAGGGAAAAAUAAUUAAUUAAUUUUGCAUGUCUGAUGGUUCACAAGUUCGAUCAUAUUGUCCAUAUGGAAUAUAUGCCUUGUAGUGAUACGAUAUUUCUUCAGAUGUAACACUGCACUUGUUCUGAAACUAUAUUAUUUGAGGGGGUGUUAUGUGGGUGAUUGCUUACCUUAA